CAGUAGCCGCGGUAACACGUAGGGCGCGAGCGUUGUCCGGAAUCACUGGGCGUAAAGGGCGCGUAGGCGGCCUGUUAAGUCGGAUGUGAAAGCCCGGGGCUCAACCCCGGAACUGCAUCCGAGACUGGCAGGCUUGAGACCGGGAGAGGAGGGUGGAAUAUCCAGUGUAGAGGUGAAAUUCGUAGAUAUUGGAUGGAACACCGGUGGCGAAAGCGGCUCUCUGGCCCGGAUCUGACGCUGAGGCGCGAAAGCGUGGGGAGCAAACAGGAUUAGAUACCCCCGUAGUCCCUGUCUCUUAUAC
rnacentral:rRNA from 1 species